rnacentral:tRNA from 1 species
GCCUUCGUGGUGUAAUAGAAGCAUACUCGACUCGUAUUCGAGAGGUUUAGGGUUCGAGUCUCAGCGAGGGCA